AUCAAAAAGAAAGGAGUCCAAACUUUUGUUUGGCAUGUAUUCGUAAACUAGCAUCGGUUCCUCUCCCUGAAUGCAGCACCCUAUGAGUUUCACCAGAUUCUAAUGUUGAAGUUUUGCAAUCAACAAAACUUCAUUUUUAAAUUCAUCUAUUCCUUGCCCUGAAUCUUUUGAAAGUCUUUUCACAGCAACUUCCGUUCCAUUAAAUAAUUUACCCUUAUAAACCA
rnacentral:misc_RNA from 1 species